UGCACUCACUACUGUAAGUCACUCUGGAUAAGAGCGUCUGCUAAAUGACUUAAA
rfam:Salmo salar isolate Sally breed double haploid chromosome ssa19, whole genome shotgun sequence.